UGGUAUUGAUUGGUGCUUGCAUCAUGAUUUACAUUUGAGUGAGUGGCGAACUGGUGAGUAACACGUGGGAAACCUGCCCAGAAGCGGGGGAUAACACCUGGAAACAGAUGCUAAUACCGCAUAACAACUUGGACCGCAUGGUCCGAGCUUGAAAGAUGGCUUCGGCUAUCACUUUUGGAUGGUCCCGCGGCGUAUUAGCUAGAUGGUGGGGUAACGGCUCACCAUGGCAAUGAUACGUAGCCGACCUGAGAGGGUAAUCGGCCACAUUGGGACUGAGACACGGCCCAAACUCCUACGGGAGGCAGCAGUAGGGAAUCUUCCACAAUGGACGAAAGUCUGAUGGAGCAACGCCGCGUGAGUGAAGAAGGGUUUCGGCUCGUAAAACUCUGUUGUUAAAGAAGAACAUAUCUGAGAGUAACUGUUCAGGUAUUGACGGUAUUUAACCAGAAAGCCACGGCUAACUACGUGCCAGCAGCCGCGGUAAUACGUAGGUGGCAAGCGUUGUCCGGAUUUAUUGGGCGUAAAGCGAGCGCAGGCGGUUUUUUAAGUCUGAUGUGAAAGCCUUCGGCUCAACCGAAGAAGUGCAUCGGAAACUGGGAAACUUGAGUGCAGAAGAGGACAGUGGAACUCCAUGUGUAGCGGUGAAAUGCGUAGAUAUAUGGAAGAACACCAGUGGCGAAGGCGGCUGUCUGGUCUGUAACUGACGCUGAGGCUCGAAAGUAUGGGUAGCAAACAGGAUUAGAUACCCUGGUAGUCCAUACCGUAAACGAUGAAUGCUAAGUGUUGGAGGGUUUCCGCCCUUCAGUGCUGCAGCUAACGCAUUAAGCAUUCCGCCUGGGGAGUACGGCCGCAAGGCUGAAACUCAAAGGAAUUGACGGGGGCCCGCACAAGCGGUGGAGCAUGUGGUUUAAUUCGAAGCUACGCGAAGAACCUUACCAGGUCUUGACAUACUAUGCAAAUCUAAGAGAUUAGACGUUCCCUUCGGGGACAUGGAUACAGGUGGUGCAUGGUUGUCGUCAGCUCGUGUCGUGAGAUGUUGGGUUAAGUCCCGCAACGAGCGCAACCCUUAUUAUCAGUUGCCAGCAUUAAGUUGGGCACUCUGGUGAGACUGCCGGUGACAAACCGGAGGAAGGUGGGGAUGACGUCAAAUCAUCAUGCCCCUUAUGACCUGGGCUACACACGUGCUACAAUGGAUGGUACAACGAGUUGCGAACUCGCGAGAGUAAGCUAAUCUCUUAAAGCCAUUCUCAGUUCGGAUUGUAGGCUGCAACUCGCCUACAUGAAGUCGGAAUCGCUAGUAAUCGCGGAUCAGCAUGCCGCGGUGAAUACGUUCCCGGGCCUUGUACACACCGCCCGUCACACCAUGAGAGUUUGUAACACCCAAAGUCGGUGGGGUAACCUUUUAGGAACCAGCCGCCUAAGGUGGGACAGAUGAU
rnacentral:rRNA from 1 species